rnacentral:rRNA from 1 species
UACGUAGGGGGCAAGCGUUGUCCGGAUUUAUUGGGCGUAAAGAGCGUGUAGGCGGCUUGGUAGGUCUCGCGUCAAAACCUGAGGCUCAACCUCAGUUCGCGUGGGAAACCACCUAGCUAGAGUCCGGAAGAGGAGAACGGAAUUCCCAGUGUAGCGGUGAAAUGCGCAGAUAUGGGAAGAACACCAGUGGCGAAGGCGGCUCUCUGGGACGGUACUGACGCUGAGACGCGAAAGCGUGGGGAGCGAACAGG